rnacentral:rRNA from 1 species
CAGCCGCCGCGGUAAUACGUAGGUCCCGAGCGUUGUCCGGAUUUAUUGGGCGUAAAGGGAGCGCAGGCGGUUUAGUAAGUCUGAAGUUAAAGGCAUUGGCUCAACCAAUGUAUGCUUUGGAAACUGUUAGACUUGAGUGCAGAAGGGGAGAGUGGAAUUCCACGUGUAGCGGUGAAAUGCGUAGAGAUGUGGAGGAACACCAGUGGCGAAGGCGACUCUCUGGUCUGUAACUGACGCUGAGGCUCGAAAGCGUGGGGAGCAAACAGGAUUAGAUACCCCUGUAGUCCCUGUCUCUUAUACA